rnacentral:rRNA from 1 species
UACAGAGGUCUCAAGCGUUGUUCGGAUUCAUUGGGCGUAAAGGGUGCGUAGGUGGCGUCGUAAGUCGGGUGUGAAAUUUCGGAGCUUAACUCCGAAACUGCAUUCGAUACUGCGGUGCUUGAGGACUGGAGAGGAGACUGGAAUUUACGGUGUAGCAGUGAAAUGCGUAGAGAUCGUAAGGAAGACCAGUGGCGAAGGCGGGUCUCUGGACAGUUCCUGACACUGAGGCACGAAGGCCAGGGGGAGCAAAACGGGG